GCAGGUUCUGGAGGCAUCUCAUGUAGAUAAUCUGAGGGUAACAGAUGAGAGGGCUCUGGAUGAUCAAGUCGGUGGAGAACCACUUGAUAGGUUGCCUGAAGGGGCAGAUAUGAUUGAUGCUGAUGGUGGGGACAAAUUGCAUGGUCGAGACCCACGAGAUGGAAAAAUAAAAUUUGGAGAUUUUGAUGAGAGUGGAAGAGAUGACUCAUCGAGACGCAGGCCUUCACGUGGAUGGCCAAGGCCUAGAGGGAAGGGAAGAGCUAAUGAAUCUGCUUUUGAUAAUGAGCAGGUUUUGGCAUCUCCAGGAUCUGGUAGCCGAUCAGGACAGGGACGAAGUUCUAGAGAUAGGAAUUUGAUGAAAAAUUUAGAUUUGAGAAGAGGACAAGAUGCAAGAAAGUGUGCAGGAAAUUCCAAUCCUGAUGGUUUAACUUUGGAACGAGAGGAUUCUGAUGAUUGCUUUCAGGAA
rnacentral:misc_RNA from 1 species